AGUGAACGCUGGCGGUAGGCCUAACACAUGCAAGUCGAACGGCAGCACAGUAAGAGCUUGCUCUUACGGGUGGCGAGUGGCGGACGGGUGAGGAAUACAUCGGAAUCUACUUUUUCGUGGGGGAUAACGUAGGGAAACUUACGCUAAUACCGCAUACGACCUACGGGUGAAAGCAGGGGAUCUUCGGACCUUGCGCGAUUGAAUGAGCCGAUGUCGGAUUAGCUAGUUGGCGGGGUAAAGGCCCACCAAGGCGACGAUCCGUAGCUGGCCUGAGAGGAUGAUCAGCCACACUGGAACUGAGGCACGGUCCAGACUCCUACGGGAGGCAGCAGUGGGGAAUAUUGGACAAUGGGCGCAAGCCUGAUCCAGCCAUACCGCGUGGGUGAAGAAGGCCUUCGGGUUGUAAAGCCCUUUUGUUGGGAAAGAAAAGCAGCAGGUUAAUACCCCGCUGUUCUGACGGUACCCAAAGGAUAAGCACCGGCUAACUUCGUG
rnacentral:rRNA from 1 species